rnacentral:rRNA from 1 species
AUUGAACGCUGGCGGCAGGCCUAACACAUGCAAGUCGAACGAGUGGCGGACGGGUGAGUAAUGUCUGGGAAACUGCCUGAUGGAGGGGGCAAACUGCUGGAAACGGUAGCUAAUACCGCAUACCAUCGGAUUUGCCCAGAUGGGAUUAGCUAGUAGGUGGGGUAACGGCUCACCUAGGCGACGAUCCCGAGCUGGUCUGAGAGGAUGACCAGCCACACUGGAACUUAGACACGGUCCAGACUCAUACGGGAGGCAGCAGUGGGGAAUAUUGCGCAAUGGGCGCAAGCCUGAUGCAGCCAUGCCGCGUGUAGGAAGAAGGCAUUCGGGUUGUAAAGUACUUUCAGCGGGGAGGCGUUACCCGCAGAAGAAGCACCGGCUAACUACGUGCCAGCAGCCGCGGUAAUUC